rfam:Triticum aestivum genome assembly, contig: Triticum_aestivum_CS42_TGACv1_scaffold_320425_4BL
AUGUUACUCCCUCCGUUCCGAAUUAUUUGUCGCUCAAAUGGAUGUAUCUAGCACUCAAAUAGUGUUAGAUACGUCCACUUGAGCGACAAGUAAUUGAGAACGGAGGGAGUACUUG